CUGGGGGUGUGCCAUUUCCCAGGACAACAAUAGGCACUGAUCUAUAUCCUAUACUAGGAAGAAAUCCCUAAAAUAUGAGGGAAAAGUCUCCAAAAAUGCCAUACUCGUGACUAAUGGAAAAUUACCAGCUCCUAACUUACCCCAGUGAAGCUGUAAAAGUUAAAAUGUUUGACUCUAAACUCAUGCUGAUUGCCUCAAUUUUAAUUUCUGUUAUCACUGGAGCAAGUUCCCAAGCGUGUCCUGUAUCAAAACUCCUCCUGGAAAAAUCAGGAAAUGCAGAGAGCGGAGCCAGAGUAGGAGUCCUCUGAAAUGAGGUUGUUUGCCAUGUGAGAGAUCUCCGUCCUCUUUCUCCCUUGGAUGAAUUAGAGAGCGAGAAGAACCUGUGUGAGGCUCCUCACUGUGAUGGAUGGAGGAGCCUGAUUUAUUCCCUGUGCAAAGCAGCCUGCCACUGGAGGCUGGAGCGACAGAGCUGACUCUUCGGGUAGGGAGAAAAUGGCCUGGAUCAUUGACAGAGGAGUUGAACCAGGACCUUGUGCUUGCCAAGCAGGCAUUAUGCCGCUGAGCUAUAUUCCCAAUCUCUGAAUGUGCAUUUGGAUGUUGGAUAAAGUAAUCUAUAGUAUGGAAACCAAACAUUAGGGGAACUAAUGGGUCGGAAUCGCUAUGGCACUGGAAACUAGAAAUAUCUUUGUUAAUACCACUGAUCGCACCCUGUAGAACUGAAGCCUGAAGUGGAAGCCAGCAAAUGAGUGCAAUGACAUCUGCCAGUUUCAGCUGUGUGUCUUUCACUCAGUGACACAUAGUAAUACUCUGCAUUGGCAGAAACAAGAAGAAGCUGGCUGAAGACUUGGUCUAAAUGGAUGAUGUCCCCGUUAGGGCACACUAGAGGAACAGACGUACAUACUGUCCUAUACUCUAAGUUAUAAUACAAUAUAAAUGACAUAUAAAAGAUUUACAGGAUUAUAAUGACCCUCUUCAGAGUCAGGGUGGAAGAAUGCAAAAUGAUCUUCUGGGUGCUGAAGAGCUGGAGGAUCCAUUUGGAAGUUGGAGGCCUAGAGCGCACUGCAGAGUCCAGUGUGAGUAAUCAUCAGAAAGCUGGCGUCUGCAUUAGAGGACGGAAGAAUCAGAGCUACAAGCGUAAGGACACUGGAGAUGAAUGUCCAAAGGUGAUAGCAAAGACUGGAGCUCCUCUGAAGAAGCAAACAAGGAGACUUCCUUUUUCUUUCUCUUUUUAUUCCAUCCAGGCCACAAGCCUCUUGGUUGGUGCUACUCACACCUGGUGUGGAUCUUCCCGCCUCAGAUUCAGACUUAGGUGUCAGUCAUCCACAUGCACACCCAGAAUUGUGUUUCACCAAUUUGCUAGUCAUUUCUUAAUCCAUUCAAAUUGACAACUUAAUUAACUAUCACAAUUUACCCUUUGUCAGCUUGACAACUGGACAAUUUCCUUAAACCGUAAUUUAAAUACAAUGGACAAUUUCCUUAAACCAUAAUUUAAAUACAAUGGACAAUUUCCUUAAACCAUAAUUUAAAUACAAUGGACAAUUUCCUUAGACCAUAAUUUAAAUACAGUAGGAAGUUUGUAACCACACUUAACAUAAUACAACCAUCCUGCAUACAACCAGAAACAUUAAUUCCCUCCCCAGAAUAAAAGGCAAUAUUUUUCUUUG